AUUUCCUUCGGGACUGAUUAUUUUGUGACUGAGUGGCGGACGGGUGAGUAACGCGUGGGUAACCUGCCUUGUACAGGGGGAUAACAGUUGGAAACGGCUGCUAAUACCGCAUAAGCGCACGGUGCUGCAUGGCACAGUGUGAAAAACUCCGGUGGUAUGAGAUGGACCCGCGUCUGAUUAGCUUGUUGGCGGGGUAAUGGCCCACCAAGGCGACGAUCAGUAGCCGACCUGAGAGGGUGACCGGCCACAUUGGGACUGAGACACGGCCCAAACUCC
rnacentral:rRNA from 1 species